UUGAGGUGUACAGGAGGGUGACUUUGUGACAUAGAACACUGAGAAGCCCUUAUGUCACAAAGCACACGAAAUGCAGGACUUUUAAGUGAACUGGUAGCUGGGGUGUCACUUUCUGAGAACAGAUGUGAUCAUCCUCACCUCCUGUCCUGCUCCUCAGUGAGAUCUUGCAGGAACAUCCAGAAGUUGAAUCCUUUCUAUACAAGAGAAUAA
rnacentral:lncRNA from 1 species